ACGGUGAGGGUCCAUCUACAUCCGAGCCUUCUCAGAGUACUCAAAAGGUGUCAACAAGUAAGAGGCAAGAAAAGAGAUCUCCAGGUGCAUCAACUAGUCUGCUCAAAAGAUAUGAAAAGAUGAUAACAGUGAGCUGAUUGAGUCUGCUCAGAGGGACGAAACUGACCAGCUUGAGACCUCUGUGGAUGGCCUGAAUCCAACAUUCACACAACUUGGUCUCCUCAACUGGGUUGAAGAGAUGAUAACAGUGAGCUGAUUGAGUCUGCUCAGAGGGACAACUGACCAGCUUGAGACCUCUGUGGAUGGCCUGAAUCCAACAUUCACACAACUUGGUCUCCUCAACUGGGUUGAAGAGUGUCAAGCAUCACCUGGUGUGCACAACAAUAUCCUCCUUGGACAAGUAUGUUCAAUGUUUGGGACCUGUAUCCUCCUUCAAGUGGCGUGGCUAUGAAUGCAGAGAUAAGAUAUUUCGUGGAUUGGUACAAAGUGCGUCUUGGGGUAUUAGGUCGGUAUAUUUGCUGUGUUCAAAUGUACAAACCAUUCUAUAAUGAAACACUUAUGACAAAUAAUCCUUAAUUCACAGCAUAGGAUGCUAAAGGACUGCCAUCAUCCAGCCUUCAGUCUGUUCACCCCGCUGCCUUCUGGAAGGCGGUACCGUAGCAUCCGGUCUCGCACACAGAGACUGGAGAACAGUUUCUUCCCGAGAGCCAUCAGGCUGCUCAAUGGACACUGACACACGAUCGACACUUUUGCACUCGACACUUUACACUCGUCACUUUACAUACACUGUCACUUUCAGCCUUGUACUUAUACUUACACUUUCUAUUGCACUACCUGCUUUCACUACCUGCUACUCCCAUUUGUCUGUAGUUUAGUUAUUAUGUGUAUUAUAUGUUAGUAUUAUGUUCAGAGUUCUUGUACAGUGUGUAUGUCAUGUUAUAUUAUGUUCGGCUAUGAUAGUUGUGUGGUGCCUUGUCCUAAGAAUUUCAGUGCCCAGUCUGACCCUGUGUCAUUCUGUGUAUCUGACAAUAAAAUACUUGACUUGACUUGACUACAUCAACUAUUUCCAAAAUUGUGAAGUUUAAGUAUAUCAUUGAAAUUACUUAAAAGUGUUUUAUUUUUGCCUUAUUGGUACUGACAAGAUCUCUUAUGGUUUAAUGCUAGAGGUUCUUUUCCAAUACACCAGCUGUUACACUUAAAAGUGUAAACAUGGGCAACAAUUAUCUCUAUAAAAGGGGACAUUUUUGCAUGUUCAUGUAUUCCAGAUCUCUGUAUUGCUCUGACAGGAACAACUGUGGUAUUUAAACUUGUACUAUAUAUUCAAAAUGUCUUCCAGUUUGUUCUGGCAUCAAUCCUCAGAAGAGUUACAAAUGAUAACCAACACCCAUCACAGUUUCUGGAGUGCAUGUCCGAUGAGGAAUGCACAC